AGCAGCCGCGGUAAUUCCAGCUCCAAUAGCGUAUAUUAAAGUUGUUGCAGUUAAAAAGCUCGUAGUUGAAUUUCGGGAUCAAUAUGUUGGUCGUGCCUUGGUACGUACUGGCAUUAUCGAUUCCUACCUUCUGAAGAACCUCGAUGUCAUUAAUUUGGUGUCUUGGGGAAUCAGGACUGUUACUUUGAAAAAUUAGAGUGUUUAAAGCAGGCUCGCGCUUGAAUACAUUAGCAUGGAAUAAUGAAAUAGGGCGUUUGAUUCUAUUUUGUUGGUUUCUAGGAUCGACGUAAUGAUUAAUAGGGAUAGUUGGGGGCAUUAGUAUUCAAUUGUCAGAGGUGAAAUUCUUGGAUUUAUUGAAGACUAACUACUGACGAAAGCAUUUGCCAAGGAUUGUUUCAUUAAUCAAGAACGAAAGUUAGGGGAUCGAAGACGAUCAGAUACCGUCGUAGUACUUAACCAUAAACUAUGCCGACGUAGGGAUCGGAUGAUGUUUAAUUUUUAAGUGUACUCAGUUCGGACG
rnacentral:rRNA from 1 species